CCCUUCUGGAAAGCAGCUGCCCACCUUUCUCCUUAUCCUCUCAAACCCUGAGAUGCAGGCAGGGGAUGCCAUCGUGAGGGGCUGGGGGUGGCCCGCCCCGGAGGCCUGGUCGGGUGGGAGCAGGACCUCCAGAUAAAAUACGGGACACUCAGCUAACAUUGGAUCGCAGGAGAAAUGCUCCUUCAGAACUCCAUCCCGAAGGGGACAGUCAAAGACACAGGCUUAUGCGCGCACAAACCUCCAAACCGGAGGCAGCCCAAAGACGUCCACAAGGCUGCAUCCCUGCAGCCUAAAUGUCUUCAAACUUUCGGGGAGGCUCGAGAGGAUUCCAUAUUUCCAGGCUCCAAGUUCUAUUUUUCUUAGCCAAUUCUGGCAUUUGGACAUGCGGAAGAACAAAACAUAUGGCAUCAAUUAAAACA